AUCAACUUUCGAUGGUAGGAUAGAGGCCUACCAUGGUGGUAACGGGUAACGGGGUGUUAGGGCACGACACCGGAGAGGGAGCCUGAGAAACGGCUACCACAUCCAAGGAUGGCAGCAGGCGCGCAAAUUACCCAAUCCCGACACGGGGAGGUAGUGACAAUAAAUAACAAUACGGGGUUCUUUAGGAUUUCGUAAUUGGAAUGAGUACAAUUUAAAUCUCUUAACGAGGAACAAUUGGAGGGCAAGUCUGGUGCCAGCAGCCGCGGUAAUUCCAGCUCCAAUAGCGUAUAUUAAAGUUGUUGCAGUUAAAAAGCUCGUAGUUGAAUUUCGGGGUCAGUAGGUUGGUCAUGCCACUGGUAUGUACUGGCCUCACUGAUUCCUCCUUCCUGAUGAGCCGUAAUGCCAUUAAUUUGGUGUUGCGAGGAAUCUGGACUGUUACUUUGAAAAAAUUAGAGUGUUUAAAGCAGGCUAACGCUUGAAUACAUUAGCAUGGAAUAAUGAAAUAGGACGUUCGAUCUUAUUUUGUUGGUUUCUAAGAUUGACGUAAUGAUUAAUAGGGAUAGUUGGGGGCAUUAGUAUUCAAUUGUCAGAGGUGAAAUUCUUGGAUUUAUUGAAGACUAACUACUGCGAAAGCAUUUGCCAAGGAUGUUUUCAUUAAUCAAGAACGAAAGUUAGGGGAUCGAAGACGAUCAGAUACCGUCGUAGUCUUAACCAUAAACUAUGCCGACUAGGGAUCGGAUGAUGUUAAUUUUUUAAUGACUCAUUCGGCGCCUUACGGGAAACCAAAGUGUUUGGGUUC
rnacentral:rRNA from 2 species